rnacentral:lncRNA from 1 species
GAGAAUAUAUGAAUAAUAGAAUGUGAACAUAGAACCCUAUGAAUGCAUGGACUAUAACAAUAGUAAACUUGGUGACAUUCUAAUUAGAGAUUUGGUUAGCAUCGAGAAAUGGAAUUGUGAAACUAGCAUAAAGAGCUAGUUAGAGUUAAGAAUGACAUCGUCUAUUGUUGAAUCCUCUGAAGGAGGAUCAGAUCAUACUCACAUUCGUUUGGUUCAAGGUAGGUCGCUCCUCCUUGAACGAUGAGCUCCGGAGUAGUCAUCUUUACUGGACCAGGAGGUUGCGUCUCCCCCAGUUGACAGUCCCGUCGGGUGCAGGUUGCGUCUCCCCGAUGUUUGGGAUAGUGUCAGUGAGUUAUUGUUAACCAAGGGUUAACCAGUAAAUUGGGUAAAUUCAAUAAAAGCAUGCAUGCAUAUUUACAGUUUUCCUAUUUUGCUUUCUUUCAGCUUUGUACAGGCAUUGUAGUAGUUACAUGUUUAGUUGGUUACUAUCUGUUUACUUUUCUUGCCUACAUAUGCCUGAAUAGACCUAGUGGGUGAGUCGGCGAGGUCGGCGGCCGAACCCACUGGGAACUUAUUUGUAGUUCUCACACCACUAACCUUACAGGUUCCAGUGCGAGUGCUGUUGCUGAGGAUCGUGGCAAGGGCCCUGCAGCUUAGUUAGCCGACACCAGAGUUUAG